rfam:Felis catus isolate Cinnamon breed Abyssinian chromosome A2, whole genome shotgun sequence.
GCCUGGGUGGCUCAGUCAGUUAAGUAUCUGACUUCAGCUCAGGUCAUGAUAUCAUGGUUUGUGGGUUCGAGCCCCACGCCAGGCU